UUUGCUGAAAUUUGUAUGGAGUUGGAAACUUUGACUACGUUUGCCGCUAGGGGCGCUGUUCCAACUGCAUACAAAUUUGAGUUG
rfam:Bombyx mori DNA, contig: Bm_scaf70_contig30854, strain: p50T/Dazao, build 2, whole genome shotgun sequence.